rnacentral:rRNA from 1 species
UACGUAGGGGGCGAGCGUUGUCCGGAUUUAUUGGGCGUAAAGAGCUCGUAGGCGGUGUGUCGCGUCGGCCGUGAAAACCUGCAGCUUAACUGUGGGCUUGCGGUCGAUACGGGCAUCACUGGAGUUCGGCAGGGGAGACUGGAAUUCCUGGUGUAGCGGUGAAAUGCGCAGAUAUCAGGAGGAACACCGGUGGCGAAGGCGGCUUCCUGGACCGACACUGACGCUGAGGCGCGAAAGCCAGGGGAGCAAACGGG